rnacentral:misc_RNA from 1 species
GAUGAAGAACGUAGCGAAAUGCGAUAAGUAAUGUGAAUUGCAGAAUUCAGUGAAUCAUCGAAUCUUUGAACGCACAUUGCGCCCGCUAGUAUUCUGGCGGGCAUGCCUGUCCGAGCGUCAUUUCAACCCUCAAGCCCCCGGGCUUGGUGUUGGGGAUCGGCGAGCCUCCGCGCCCGCCGUCCCCUAAAUCUAGUGGCGGUCUCGCUGUAGCUUCCUCUGCGUAGUAGCACACCUCGCACUGGGAACCAGCGCGGCCACGCCGUUAAACCCCCAACUUCUGAACGUUUGACCUCGGAUCAGGUAGGAAUACCCGCUGAACUUAAGCAUAUCAAUAAGCGGAGGA